CUUGCACAUGCGCCUCUCUGUGCCCCUCCUCACCCAACGGGGACAUCCUUGCACCCGAUAAAGAGAGUGACAGUCACGCGCUGCACACGUUUCCGUUGCGACCGCUUGGCUCAUGUGCUCACUUUUGUUUCUCAACGCCCGGGAUCCUUAAAACAAACAAAAGUAAAAAAAGACCCAUUAGCCGAGCACAUCCACACACCGAUGUCGGCGGCGAUGUCGCGUAGCAUGCCGGCGUCGUUCGCCGCGAAGGACGAUGACAAACACUACAAGAUGUGCAAGAAGAUUGCGCAACUCACCAAGGUGAUUUACACCUUGAACAACCGAUGCGAGGACAACGAGCAGCGCACCGAGUGGCUGCACCAGGCGCACAUGCAGGAAAGAGCGCAGCUCUGCCAGGAGUACGAGUCGCUGCUAGAGAAGCUUCAGCAGCAGAUUCGCGGCUUGCAGGCAGACAAGAUCAACAUUGCAGCGUCCCUAGAGCGGUCUCAGAAAGAGCAGCUCCAAGCAGCGCAGGAGGAGUUCAAGACACGACUUGCCGCUCUCUCAGAACAGGUCAGUGAGCAGGAGUCGAGAUAUGACAGCGCAUUGCUGGAGGAGAAGCAGCGAAUGGCCGCCGAACUGGCUGCCGAGACGAAGCGCGUGCGAGAGUGCAAGGACUUGGAACUGGCAAACCUCGUACGCGAGUACAACGACAAGUACAAGGCCAUGCUUGCCGAGCAGCUGGACUCGAGAGAUGCUCUGGAGGAAACACUCAAGAGGGAGUGGGGGAGUAAAGUCGAUGCACUUCAGGCAGAGCUGGCAGCGGCGCAGGGCAGCGCGAGCGCGCAGCUGCAAUCGAAGUCCAGGCUGCUGCAGGAGGCUCUGCAGCGAUGCGCGACGCUGGCCAACGAGAGGGACCUAUCAGCGGCUUCGCGUGAUGAGGCGCAUACACAGUUACAGACGCUGCAAGGGCAGCUGGGGCGCAUCGAGGGGGAGUUAGCGGACGAGCGGCGCCAGCGUGCGGCUUCCGACGAACUCAAAACGGAGCUGGAGGCGAGACUGGCAUCCUUGGAUACCAAGCGAAAUGCCCUUCAGAAAGAAUGCGCGGAGGCACAGCAGUCCCUGGCGGCUGAGAAGGCGCUCAACGCACGCCGAGCGGCCGCGGUGCAGGCGCUGGAGAACGAGAAAGCGUCCCUGUCGACGUCGAAGGAGGCGCUGGCUCAGGAGCUGGAGGGCUGCAAGGCUGCCCUCACCGCCAGUAAGGCACAACGCGACGCCGCGGAGGCACAACUCCGCGACCUGCACGCCUCCUCUGCUACCCAUGCCUCCUUGUUGAGUGACACCAGAUCGCAGCUAGAUGAGGCGAAGCAGCGCUUGGCGACGGCGCUAAAUCAGGCGGCCGAGGCGGCGCGCAUUUCCCAGGCGAAGCACGAGGAGGAGCUACGCAACGCGCGUGCAUCGCUGAAGUCGAACUCGUCCUCUGAGCAGCAGAGAUUGAUAGAGGCGCACAAGAAGGAAAGUGAUGCGCUUAAGCGGACGCAUGAGGCAGAGAUGCUUCGACUACAGACAGAGAUGCAGCGACUGCAAACAGAGAACGCUGCCACGCAAGAGUUAUUUCAAAGGACUGCGAAGGAUGCGGAAGUCGCCGCUGCAAAGAUUGCCGCCCUGACGGCUCAGUGCGAGGAGCAUGAUGCGCUGCUCCAAAGUCGAGCUGAGGAGAGCGCAGCAGAGCGCCUCCAGCUGGAGCAGCAGCUGCUGCAGCUGCAGCGCGAGGUGGAAGCCGCCAGAAACGACGGAGCAGAGGGGGCAGCCGCUCAGGUGGCCGCGCUAGAGCGCGCGCAGGCGGAGCACGCCGCGGUCUGCGCUGCCGCGGAAGCCGCACACGCCAAGGCGCUUCGUGAGGCAGAAGAGAAGAGUGCUGCACAGCUCGAAAGCGCUUCCCGAAGCAACGCCGCGUUGGUGAAGGCCAUGCAGAAACAACACUCGGCUGCCAUGGAGCGAGCGAAGGAAGACGCGGCGGCGCAGGCUGCCUCCAUAAGCCGCAACGUCGAGACCCAGCUUGCUGCUCUGCGGCGCGACUAUGACGAAAGGCUCGCUGCGGUGCGUACGGCCGCGGCGGCGACUGAGGGAAAGCUUCACACACUCAUCUCGGAGCUGCAGGCGCAGCUGCGUCAGGCUCUUAGCGAGACGGCGGCUCUUCAAACGUCCAACAUUGACAUGCGUGAGCAGCGGCAGGCGGAGAUCGCGCUGCUGAAGGCCGCCAUGGAGAAGGCUCAAACGGAGGCAGCUGCCGUGCUCGAUCGUACGCGCAGCGAUGCUGACGCGCAGCGACGCGACGAAGUUCACGCACUGGAGGUGGUGCGUCAGCGGCAGGUUGCUGCGGAGCGGCAGCGCUAUGAGGCCGCCGUGGCAGCUGGCAAGGAGCAGAUGGCGAGAAUGGAGGCGCGCUUCGACGAGCGCAUCGAAGCCGCGGAGGCACACCUACAAGAGACUGUAGCGGCGCUGAAAGCGGCGCGGAUAAAGGGCAUGCAGGAGCUGGAGGAGCAACUCAACACGGCGCAUCAGCUGCGGGUGCGUGAGCUCACCGCAACGCACGACGCUGAGCGCGGCCAACUCCAAGACACGAUUGGUACAAUGGACGCCAAGCUCAAGGAGCUGAUUUCCUCGAUGGCCAGCAAGGAGGAGAAUUUAGACAGACUCCUCGCCCAGCGUGACCAGUUGCUAGAGGAGGUCACCACGGCGAAGCGCAACGGUGCGGCCGCUGUAGUGACCGAGCAGAAUCGUCGUGCGGCGGACCUGGAGCAGCUUCGUGUGGAACAUGAAAGGGAACUGAAAGCUCUCGGCGACGCGCACAAGGAGAUCGUGGACGAUUUUGUGCGGCAGCAGGCCGAGGAGCGGCGUGCGCACCAGGGUCUUGUAGACGAGCUGCGUAGCACGGUAGAGGAACUGCAGUACAAGUACCACUACCGCGAAUCUCGUCCAGAGGACGUCGAGCUCAUUAAUAAGCUUCUUCAGGACAGCAAGGAAAAGGAAUUGGCUUUGAGCAAGGCCUACGAGGACAUGCGGCUGUACAAGCUGGAGCUCAUCAACAGAGAGGAGAACUACAACAAAGUCUUUGGCCGACACCCCAACGUGGCGGACUACUCUGCCGUCGCACAGGCGGCCGGAAAGCGUCCGUCCUCGCUUCCCCGUAUCGGCGCUACACGCCAGCACUCGACACGGUAGCCGCAUGGGCAUGUCUGCACAUACGCAGCUGCGUGUGUACCUGUAUCUGUGCCGGCAUUUCUUGAUUGUUUUGUGGAGUUGUCUGUGCCGUUCAUAUGCGCAGCGCUUGCUCCGUCUUUGUUUACCGAUUUGGCUCGACGCGUCUGGCGCGUGCGUUCCGUAACCUCUCACGGCAUCUGCUCGCCUCGCUCACCCCGCCUCUCCCCUCAUGGCACCCCACACGGUCCCGCUGGGAUCUGCCGAUUCGCGGAGUUCAUGCGUGUGCCUGCUGUUCGGUGUGCUGCCGUGCUCGUUGGCUCACGUUCGCAGAGGAGGGGGGGGGCGGGGAUGCUGUCGCGGCAGGGUGCGGGUGCCCAUGUAUACAAUAUACCAAUAGAAGUACUUUAUACGCUUAUUUUCUGUGCUUCUCUUCGCGUGCUUCGAACCGUCUUCUUCACCUGUAGCUGUUCUCUCUCGUCACUUCAUCUUUUCUCCGAGUAACUGCGCCUGCGGACACAGCGGCUUGAGGAAGCGAGGGCAGGUGCCCGCCGAGAGCAGCAACAGACUGACAGACUCACAUUGCAGCAAG
rnacentral:misc_RNA from 1 species